rnacentral:rRNA from 1 species
AACGAACGCUGGCGGCAUGCCUAACACAUGCAAGUCGAACGAGAACUUCGGGUCUUGUGGCGCACGGGUGCGUAACCCGUGGGAACCUGCCCUCAGGUUUGGAAUAACUCCCCGAAAGGGGUGCUAAUAGCGGAUAAUGUCUUCGGACCAAAGAUUUAUCGCCCUUGGAUGGGCCCGCGUUGGAUUAGCUAGUUGGUAGGGUAAAAGCCUACCAAGGCGACGAUCCAUAGCUGGUCUGAGAGGAUGAUCAGCCACACUGGGACUGAGACACGGCCCAGACUCCUACGGGAGGCAGCAGUGGGGAAUAUUGGACAAGGGGCGAAAGCCUGAUCGAGCAAUGCCGCGUGAGUGAUGAAGGCCUUAGGGUUGUAAAGCUCUUUUACCCGGGAUGAUAAUGACAGUACCGGGAGAAUAAGCUCCGGCUAACUCCGUG